CACGUAGGGUCCGAGCGUUGUCCGGAAUUACUGGGCGUAAAGCGUGCGCAGGCGGUUGGGUCAGUCGCUGGUGAAAGCCCCACGCUCAACGUGGGAAUGGCCAACGAGACGGCCCGACUGGAGGCAGGGAGAGGCCGGUGGAAUUCCGGGUGUAGUGGUGAAAUGCGCAGAUAUCAGGAAGAACACCAAUGGCGAAGGCAGCUCUCUGGGACGGUACUGACGCUGAGACGCGAAAGCGUGGGGAGCGAACAGG
rnacentral:rRNA from 1 species